GGGGGCGUAUUGGUUUCGACGGGGAUCACGGAGGGUUGAGAAGCGAGCGGUGGCCCCGAACCACCAUAAAAUCGGGAAAAAAAUAACUGCGAAUAAUAACAAUUUCGCUCUGGCAGCUUAAUGCUGCCUCGUCGGUCCCGAGCCUCCUGCGGCGCGGCCAACCGGCGUCAUUAAAAGCAGGGAACCAGUUCGCUUAAGCUUUGCGGCGAAUGGGAUCUUUAUGAAGCUACUGAAGCGUCUAGCCUGUCUGUCGGGCGCGGCGCGGAGGGAAUGUUAAAACACAGACUGCGCUCGGAGAUGCUCGGUUCGCCGGAUUUUCGGACAGGGGUUCGACCCCCCUCGCCUCCACCA
rnacentral:tmRNA from 1 species